rnacentral:rRNA from 1 species
AGAACGAACGCUGGCGGCGUGGAUAAGACAUGCAAGUCGAACGCGACUUAUCGUGAUAUCAAUAUCAUGGUAAGUUGAGUGGCGAAAGGGUGCGUAACACGUGGGAAUUUACCAAGAAGUGGGGAAUAGCUCGACGAAAGUCGAAUUAAUACCGCAUACGAUCGCAAGAUCAAAGCCGGGGACCGCAAGGCCUGGCGCUUUUUGAGAAGCCCGCGGCCCAUCAGCUCGUUGGCGGGGUAACGGCCCACCAAGGCUAUGACGGGUAGCUGGUCUGAGAGGACGACCAGCCACACUGGAACUGAGACACGGUCCAGACACCUACGGGUGGCAGCAGUCGAGAAUUUUUCACAAUGGAC